rnacentral:rRNA from 1 species
CAGCCGCCGCGGGAAUACGGAGGGUGCGAGCGUUAAUCGGAAUUACUGGGCGUAAAGCGUACGCAGGCGGUCUGUUAAGUCAGAUGUGAAAUCCCCGGGCUUAACCCGGGAACUGCAUUUGAAACUGGCAGGCUAGAGUCUCGUAGAGGGGGGUAGAAUUCCAGGUGUAGCGGUGAAAUGCGUAGAGAUCUGGAGGAAUACCGGUGGCGAAGGCGGCCCCCUGGACGAAGACUGACGCUCAGGUACGAAAGCGUGGGGAGCAAACAGGAUUAGAUACCCGCGUAGUCCCUGUCUCUUAUAC